rnacentral:rRNA from 1 species
UACGUAGGGGCCUAGCGUUGUCCGGAAUUAUUGGGCGUAAAGAGCUCGUAGGCGGUUCGGCAAGUCACGUGUGAAAUCUCCACGCUUAACGUGGAGGCGCCACGUGAAACUGCCGUGACUCGAGUCCGGUAGGGGAGUGUGGAAUUCCCGGUGUAGCGGUGAAAUGCGCAGAUAUCGGGAGGAACACCAGUAGCGAAGGCGGCACUCUGGGCCGGUACUGACGCUGAGGAGCGAAAGCGUGGGGAGCGAACAGG